AACGAACGCUGGCGGCAGGCUUAACACAUGCAAGUCGAACGCCCCGCAAGGGGAGCGGCAGACGGGUGAGUAACGCGUGGGAACCUUCCCAAUGGUGCGGAAUAGCCCAGGGAAACUUGGGGUAAUACCGCAUAAGCCCUUAGGGGGAAAGAUUUAUCGCCAUUGGAUGGGCCCGCGUCGGAUUAGCUAGUUGGUGAGGUAAUGGCUCACCAAGGCAACGAUCCGUAGCUGGUUUGAGAGAAUGACCAGCCACACUGGGACUGAGACACGGCCCAGACUCCUACGGGAGGCAGCAGUGGGGAAUCUUGGACAAUGGGCGCAAGCCUGAUCCAGCCAUGCCGCGUGAGUGACGAAGGCCUUAGGGUUGUAAAGCUCUUUUGCCGGGGACGAUAAUGACGGUACCCGGAGAAUAAGUCCCGGCUAACUUCGUGCCAGCCGCCGCCGUAAGAC
rnacentral:rRNA from 1 species